ACACGAGAAGGGAGGUGGUUCGGCAGAUGUAUGAAAUCCGGACGCGUGAGGUGACUGCGGGCUAGCAGUCCGUCGUCGCGCUCUGCGCAUCGCCGGACUGGCGCACGAAAGAGGUGCGCAGCCGGCCAAUCCCAUGCAGUCACCCGACCCGCGGGUCGCCGGUACGUCCGACCGGCCCCCUUCCGCCUCAGGGCGUCAGGGGUAAAGACCCGCGGGUUGUCCGCG
rnacentral:sRNA from 1 species